AUAAAUCAGAAAAAUUUUUCGGCUCUGCGAAGUUCAGGAGUUAACUUUCCCGGCGGUUUGCGCAUGCGCCCCGUCUUAAAGGGCGAGUCUGUGUUGAUACCACUGCU